GAUGAACGCUGGCGGCGUGCCUAAUACAUGCAAGUAGAACGCUGAAGGAGGAGCUUGCUCUUCUGGAUGAGUUGCGAACGGGUGAGUAACGCGUAGGUAACCUGCCUGGUAGCGGGGGAUAACUAUUGGAAACGAUAGCUAAUACCGCAUGACAACAGUUAUUGCAUGAUAACUGUUUAAAAGGUGCAACUGCUCCACUACCAGAUGGACCUGCGUUGUAUUAGCUAGUUGGUGAGGUAACGGCUCACCAAGGCGACGAUACAUAGCCGACCUGAGAGGGUGAUCGGCCACACUGGGACUGAGACACGGCCCAGACUCCUACGGGAGGCAGCAGUAGGGAAUCUUCGGCAAUGGACGGAAGUCUGACCGAGCAACGCCGCGUGAGUGAAGAAGGUUUUCGGAUCGUAAAGCUCUGUUGUAAGAGAAGAACGAGUGUGAGAGUGGAAAGUUCACACUGUGACGGUAUCUUACCAGAAAGAGACGGCUAACUACGUG
rnacentral:rRNA from 1 species